GUGGGGAAUAUUGCGCAAUGGGCGAAAGCCUGACGCAGCGACGCCGCGUGAGCGAUGAAGCCUUUCGGGGUGUAAAGCUCUGUCGAGAGGGAUGAUAAUGACAGUACCUCUAGAGGAAGCCACGGCUAAUUACGUGCCAGCAGCCGCGGUAAUACGUAAGUGGCGAGCGUUAUCCGGAUUUACUGGGCAUAAAGAGCACGUAGGCGGUAGUUUAAGUCAGAUGUUAAAUCCCACAGCCUAACUGUGGUCCGCAUUUGAUACUGAAUUACUAGAGAUCAGGAGAGGGAAGCGGAACUCACGGUGUAGCGGUGAAAUGCGUAGAUAUCGUGAGGAACACCAGUGGCGAAGGCGGCUUCCUGGACUGAUUCUGACGUUGAGGUGCGAAAGCGUGGGGAGCGAACGGG
rnacentral:rRNA from 1 species